CAUGUACUACCUCUGUCCCGAAUUACUUGUAUUAGAAAAGGAUAAAAAUGGAUGUAUUUAAUACUAAAAUACAUUUAAAUACAUCCAUUUCUGCGACAAAUAAUUCCGGACGGAUGGAGUAUUUU
rfam:Triticum aestivum genome assembly, contig: Triticum_aestivum_CS42_TGACv1_scaffold_374131_5AL